rnacentral:lncRNA from 1 species
GCUUUCCUCAGGCUCUAAGGCCCGCGGUGUGGAGCGCGGCGUCUGUUGAGAUUGUCUAUUUUUUCUUGAGUCAGCCGUCUGAAAAGAACACGAGGUGGACAGGGCAGAGCGGUCAAGGAAAGCCAUAGGAGGAGGGCACUUAUUUGAGCAAAGACCGGCGGGACGUGGGCGUCGAGGACAUCCUGAGGUUCCCACCAAGUGGACAUUGGCUUAUUCUACAAGCAACAGGAUGAGGCCCCUGGACUCCUCACUAGCAAAAUAGUGCAGUGACAGCAACACCCCCCCCCACACACACACACACAAAGAUGUCCACAUCUUAAUUCCUGGAACCUGUGAAUGUGUGACCUUACCUGGUGUCUUAGUUCAUUUGUGCCACUGUAACAAAAUACCACAGACUGGGUAAUUUAUAAACAAUAUAAAUUUGUU